UACGGGGGGGGCAAGCGUUGUUCGGAAUUACUGGGCGUAAAGGGCGCGUAGGCGGCCUGCUAAGUCACACGUGAAAUCCCUCGGCUCAACCGGGGAACUGCGUCCGAUACUGGAGGGCUUGAGUGUGGGAGAGGGAUGCGGAAUUCCAGGUGUAGCGGUGAAAUGCGUAGAUAUCUGGAGGAACACCGGUGGCGAAGGCGGCAUCCUGGACCAUGACUGACGCUGAGGAGCGAAAGCCAGGGGAGCAAACGGG
rnacentral:rRNA from 1 species